GGGGGGAGAGAGGCUGACAGUGCUGGAAACCAGCCAGAAGAGAAAAACAACAGUGCUUCUUAACGGAUUACUUGUCAAGGACUGCAGUGGUCGGAGCUGCCUCCAAGGACAGAUGUGCACUAUGAUGUCAGGAGUGGGCUUACUAAUUAAGAACAACCCAUUAUGGCUGAUAACAGCAACAUUGUUGUGCAACUUUACUGUGUGGUAGAAAAUGCUCUAUUCAAGCUAACAUAAUGGCUUCUGUUUUGUAUGCACCUUUUGUUUGCCUGCUGCUUGCUCAUUUUAUGUGUGUGCUUGAAUAGCUUUUUUCCUUGCCCGCGAUUACUCAGAAUUAAAUGUAGAAUGCACAUCAA